CGUGACGUCAUUUAUGGACGGCCCAUAUUUAAGAAACUUGGAGCAUUGUUUCAGCUGCCGAGCCAGGAGAGUGUCCUCUCAUUUCCUUCAUCAACCUGUUUAUAGGGUUAUCGGAAUAUAGGGUACAGUAAUAUCGGAUUCUUACAGAGAGGUUAACCUUGUGAUCAAGUGGUAGUGCCUCAUGCUGAUAACCCCUAUUCCCGAGCCUAGCAACUUUCCGGAAAAUAUAAAGUUUUAAAUGAAAGCCUGUACUCUAUAAACUUAUUCUGUGAAGGAUAUACACACAUUCAAAAUGUCUACGAUUAGAAUCUAAAUCCCCGAAUACCUUAUCUAUGAAUGUAUAGUUAUAUACGCGUUUAGAAAUAUGAAUGCAUAUUUUAAUGACGAUGUUUGUCACGUAUUUACACCAUUAAAUAUUGCUUUGAAAUGCGAUACUAUUUAGCAGGUUGUGCAUCGUGACCACUCUCGUAAAAUUACACAUUCCUCGUACGAAAAUUACGAUUGAUGAUGAAAACUAAAACCAUGCAACAUACGCGUGUGGCAAGCCACGCGCUCGUACUAAUGUACAAAGGACAGGGUGGUUUAGUUGACAUAAUGGGAGGGGGAGAUUGCUGUUUGCAUGAGUGUGUGCCUUUUGGGCCCGGCUGCUGAAAGCAUUCAGCCCCAUUUGUACAUUUAACAACAAAGUACUAAGCUAGCACUGAUGCACCGAGGGAUCUGGCAAAUGUCCCUAACGAGCCCCCAAAGACUUUUAGCCCAGGUGCCGUGUGCCUAAUGCAGCCCCUCUUUACAGCGUGGCUGUAUGUGUGCGCGUGAUUGUUUCGGCUCUUUCCUCCCGCUUGUUUUCCAUAUUGGGGAUCUAUUUAAUUGUAGGCUUGGCAGCAGCGGACGCGGGAACCUUCAGACGGAUCUUCAGGACCGCGCCGUUCGCUUUUGCAGGAUUUUACCGUCGACGCGCAGAGGUUUUCUCCGAUGCGUUUUUUUUUUGGGGGGGGGAGCGGCGGGUUUGUGCCUUGCGUUGUUCGGCACAACGUCCGACGUUUCGCCCCACGUGCCGGCCCCGGCAGCUUCCUCGGAAACUCUCGUCCUGUGUUCACGCAACAGCGCACGCGGCUCCUGCAACUGUCUCGCAUGCUUUCUUCCGUUCGUCAUGCAAUCGUUGCAGAUUAAUCGCUGGUGCCUGCCAUUGACAUACAUGGGCCGUGGAUUUUUCACGAAGCCUGCGGACGUGUGUGAUGGUCGGAAUUGCGACGACGUGCCGUAGUUCGUUUGCUUGCUUAAAUUACAUUUCAUGAGCUCACACGCGUGCAUUGGGCAUCCCUACAAUCGCACGACCCUGUCAAGUCUGCCACGUUAGUUUACAUUUAAUUGUACAUUUUUCGCUUUUUAUCCCCGUAAAUGUACGCUACUCUUUGUGCUUUUCCAGAUGUAUUUACUCGGAAUAAUGCAGAUAUUGUGUUCCCCGGGCUGGCAGCGAGGGAUGGGGGGAGGGAUGUGGGGACACACACACACGUGUUGUGCCUGGUCACACAGCAGAAUGCGUCGACGAAGCGAACGCCCGCACGCGCGCGUUAAAUAAAAAAGAGAGAGACGGCGCAGUUUAGCGCCACCGUCGUAAAUGGCAAUGAGCAGCAGCUAUUGGGGACGCUGAUUUAUGGCGAGCCGAUGAUGAGGAUGUCUCAUGAUGAUGAACGAUGAUGGCUAGAUAACCUUGCCUUGCGUCUGCGCGCGGAUUUGAACGGAGAAGCGAGAGCAACGUUUUUGCGAGUGGCGCGUUCAUUCGCAGCGCCAGUGUUUCGUCUCCCCCGUUGCGCGCUCGUGAAAUUACAUGCAUGAAACUCGCAUUGGCGAAGAUUCCCCGGGCAUUUAUAAACAGAGGAGCACGCACGGUUGUUAUCAUCGCUCCUUGUGCAAUCUGCCUUCCGUUAUUGCAGUCUCCCCCCCCGAUUUCAGAUAAAUCGCUGCUGCUGCUGCUGCUUGCCAUUGGCAGUCACGGGCCGUGGAAGAGUUUUAGCAAAGUCUGCAACAAAAAAAUGCGAAAAAAUGAUUGAAGCAAAAGAUAUCAGCUGGCGAUGUUUCAUCCGCUCCGUUAGCCUAAAUGUAGCAGUGCAUCGUGAUCAUCGGCAGCCGCGAUCAAUCCACCGCUGGACGAAGUCUCUUCCCGUUGUGUCAUCGUCACCCACGUGUUGUAAUUCCCCCGCGCCUACGACUGGCAUGGCUGGGUACGUAUGGUGCGAAAGAAGUUCAGCUUACGUGCAUAACUCGCGGGAGUGGGUAGUAGUGCGAUGGUGCAGUGCACGCCGCAGCUGCGCGCGAGACGAUCUCAUCGUUCCAUCAUCCGUGCCGGUCGUCACCUCGGAAAGUGAUGCCUUUCCUUUGGCUGCCGGUCUGUCACCAUUCUCUCGCACCAUCGUGUUUGCGUGAUUAUAGAAUUGUUCGCAUUCAAACCUUAACAUUUUGGGAAGUCCCAGUGUAGUGCGCGCAGGCAUUUGUCCCACAGCCCACGUGGUGUGUUUGCUUUUUUCCCGUUGCGGUGCGAAAAGGUUUGCCGUGCUGCGAAUGUGGCGCGGUGCAAGCUGCUCAUCACAUCGCUUACCACCGGCAAGUUAUACGCUUGCAGUGGACGUACGAGCGGCUAAGCAUCGAGCCCAUGCCGUCGACUUCAUUACUGGACCCAACGCACUGGUUUUUUUUUCUUUCUAUUUGGUGAACUUCUUUUGGAACCGUGCGUAGCCAGCCGUGCUAAUUUAAUAAAUACAGUUGCUUUUCAAAUUUUCUAACACCAAUCGAAAGAAAGAUUACAGUGCUGUGUGAAAUAAAAUAAAAAUCAUUUAUUCUGUUGAUGCCGGGGUUCUCAAAUACAAUCAACUUGCCGUUAGUUUUUCACACCUGAUGAUGACUGUUUGCGUUACAGUCGAAACGUCGUGAGAAUUUUUAUUGUUUUUUAUAUAUAUUUUUUUAUUUUAUUGUUUCCCUUCAACGUGACUUUACCGAAAGAACCAAGAAUAUACAAUCAACUUAAUUAACAGCCUUUCUUUGUUGUUCAGGAGUUCAUGUGAAAUGCACGUGAGAUGGCUCUUUUGAUUUGAGCAAAGACUCACUUCAAACGGUGCCACAAUCACGCCAACAGAUGAGCUGGAUACCACCAAAAAUAACUCGAAAAUGUUGCCUGACUUUUAUUCUCAAGCUUGCAGGCCCCGACAGAUUCACAAUUUGUGCUUUCAUCAUGUGCUGGGGAGGGAGGUUGGACAUGUCUUAUGUUUUUCAAAGUUCUUUGAGGAGUUCAGCACCACUGGCUGAAACUCAAAAUGUGGCCAUCAAGCGGGGCCAGAGGUCGUGCAAACCCCACCACUCGUGGGUGCCUGUGGAACCCCAGAGCGCCUUACACAUCCCACUCUGCCGAGGUACGGACGCUAUAUGGGGAAAUAUGAGAAGCGUGACCGUCUCUCGACAACUCGAGCUGUCACAGCAUCGCGCACAAAGAGGUCACCGGACUAAUAAUCAAGACGCAAGCUGCUUUAAACGUGUAUGGGGGGGGGGGGGGGUGGAGGAUUGCUUCGUCGUGUGCGAGAUUAAGAACACGUUACUGCUCGUGAAGAAAUGGGAUAUGUAAACGUCCCUAGCAAAAAAAAUGCAGUUGAACCACGCGCAAUACUUACACUGGACGUUUGCGCGGUUAAAUGUCCAGGCCGGCUUUGUGGGGGUCCGAUAUGCGAUGUUCCAAUCACAUCUGUUGCUUCAUUAAAAGCAGAAUCAAAACCGUACCUGUUUUAAUACACGAGCAUAACUAUUGUUCCACUGCCUGUGAAGUUACCCGUUUGUUCACUUAAUUGACCAUGCCUUCGUUAGACUGUUUUUCGGUAGGCUGACCACUGUCAUUGAAUUGUGGAAUAUACACACAUUGACCCAUGGUCAUGUACAGAGACGUGAUCUGCCUUCCCACGAGUUUUUUUGGUUGUUAAGUGACUUUGCUUUGCUUUCAAAUGUCUAUUUAUUUAUUUAUGAUAAUUUAAGUAUAAUACAUAUUAGGCUACAAUUAAUAUGACAAUGAAUGUGUUUCAGUACUUAAUGCACUUAAAUUCCAUCUCUGAGACGUAAAAAAGCAUCGCUUAGACUGCCAUGCGACGAACAUUGAUCUCAUAAAGCUUUCGUGACUGCAAGGAUUCAUCUUCUUUGGUUCUUUCGUUAAAGUCACC